CCGAGUGCGAGUAAAAAUGAGCAUUACGAGACAGGCUGCGUGAGUGCGGCAAGCGUGAACAGCUUGUCCGUGACGCGGGAUUCGCGCCGCAUGGGGUAGAGAGGAGCGAGUAUGAGAAGCAUUCACAGACACAGGCUGUGUGUGCGCUCUUCUGAAUUGG